AUUGAACGCUGGCGGCAUGCCUUACACAUGCAAGUCGAACGGUAACAGGUCUUCGGAUGCUGACGAGUGGCGAACGGGUGAGUAAUACAUCGGAACGUGCCUAGUAGUGGGGGAUAACUACUCGAAAGAGUGGCUGAUACCGCAUGAGAUCUACGGAUGAAAGCAGGGGAUCGCACGACCUUGUGCUACUAGAGCGGCCGAUAGCAGAUUAGGUGGUUGGUGGGAUAAAAGCUUACCAAGCCGACGAUCUGUAGCUGGUCUGAGAGGACGAUCAGCCACACUGGGACUGAGACACGGCCCAGACUCCUACGGGAGGCAGCAGUGGGGAAUUUUGGACAAUGGGCGAAAGCCUGAUCCAGCAAUGCCGCGUGCAGGAUGAAGGCCUUCGGGUUGUAAACUGCUUUUGUACGGAACGAAAAGCCCUGGGUUAAUACCCUAGGGUCAUGACGGUACCGUAAGAAUAAGCACCGGCUAACUACGUGCCAGCCGCCGCAGUAA
rnacentral:rRNA from 1 species